rnacentral:lncRNA from 1 species
UGCAAACACAGAUAAGGAAGCAGCUAUGACACAGAGGUGGAGCUUCCUGGGUAAUUGGCAAGUUUCACAUACAUACGGUGGAUCCCAGUAAACACAAUGGGCCUUAGUGAGCACAUUCCUUUCCUUUUUACGACAUACUCAUGGGGAGAUGCCUGCAGCCGCACCAACAAAAAAGGAGUACCUGGGGCCAGGCAUGUCCACCGUGCGGGAUCUACCUCCCCUUUUUCAGCACAUGCACAGUAGGAAAGAAAUAAGCAAUGCGAAGAAGCUCAGGCCAAGGAGCCGUCUGCAUAAUAAAAGAAUGGCAACACUUUUGGGGACCCC